UACGUAGGUGGCAAGCGUUGUCCGGAAUUAUUGGGCGUAAAGCGCGCGCAGGUGGUUUCUUAAGUCUGAUGUGAAAGCCCACGGCUCAACCGUGGAGGGUCAUUGGAAACUGGGGAACUUGAGUGCAGAAGAGGAUAGUGGAAUUCCAAGUGUAGCGGUGAAAUGCGUAGAGAUUUGGAGGAACACCAGUGGCGAAGGCGACUAUCUGGUCUGUAACUGACACUGGGGCGCGAAAGCGUGGGGAGCAAACAGG
rnacentral:rRNA from 1 species